GGGCUGGUGGCGCAGUUGGUUAGCGCGUCUGCUUUACAUGUAUUACAUGCGUCGCAGAAGGUCUUCGGUUCAAACCCGGAUCGGCUCA